rnacentral:rRNA from 1 species
UACGGAGGGUGCAAGCGUUAUCCGGAUUCACUGGGCUUAAAGGGUGCGUAGGUGGGUUGGUAAGUCCGUGGUGAAAUCUCCGAGCUUAACUCGGAAACUGCCGUGGAUACUAUCAAUCUUGAAUACUGUGGAGGUAAGCGGAAUAUGUCAUGUAGCGGUGAAAUGCUUAGAUAUGACAUAGAACACCGAUAGCGAAGGCAGCUUGCUACACAGUUAUUGACACUGAGGCACGAAAGCGUGGGGAGCAAACAGG